rfam:Beauveria bassiana D1-5 contig00418, whole genome shotgun sequence.
GGUCUAGUGGUCUAGUGGUAUGAUUCUCGCUUUGGGUCCACAUUUCCAGUCUGCGAGAGGCCCCGGGUUCGAAUCCCGGCUGGACCC